UACGUAGGGGGCAAGCGUUGUCCGGAAUCAUUGGGCGUAAAGAGCGUGUAGGCGGCCUGGUAAGUCCGCUGUGAAAGUCCAGGGCUCAACCCUGGGAUGCCGGUCGAUACUGCCGGACUAGAGUUCGGAAGAGGCGAGUGGAAUUCCCGGUGUAGCGGUGAAAUGCGCAGAUAUCGGGAGGAACACCUAUGGCGAAGGCAGCUCGCUGGGACGUUACUGACGCUGAGACGCGAAAGCGUGGGGAGCAAACAGG
rnacentral:rRNA from 1 species